AGUGAACGCUGGCGGUAGGCCUAACACAUGCAAGUCGAACGGCAGCACAGUAAGAGCUUGCUCUUACGGGUGGCGAGUGGCGGACGGGUGAGGAAUACAUCGGAAUCUACUUUUUCGUGGGGGAUAACGUAGGGAAACUUACGCUAAUACCGCAUACGACCUCCGGGUGAAAGCAGGGGAUCUUCGGACCUUGCGCGAUUGAAUGAGCCGAUGUCGGAUUAGCUAGUUGGCGGGGUAAAGGCCCACCAAGGCGACGAUCCGUAGCGGGUCUGAGAGGAUGAGCAGCCACACUGGAACUGAGACACGGUCGAGACUCCUACGGGAGGCAGCAGUGGGGAAUAUUGGACAAUGGGCGCAAGCCUGAUCCAGCCAUACCGCGUGAGUGAAGAAGGCCUUCGGGUUGUAAAGCCCUUUUGUUGGGAAAGAAAAGCAGCAGGUUAAUACCCCGCUGUUCUGACGGUACCCAAAGAAUAAGCACCGGCUAACUUCGUG
rnacentral:rRNA from 1 species